UUUGUUCCUGCGGUUCAAUCAUCACGUUAGACAAAGAGGUUUCCUUGCUUUUAACAUCCAUGCAAUUUAUACCAGAAAUCUUAUGGAUGGCGGUGAAACCAUUGCAGCUUUCUGGGGACCUAAUGUUUUGAUCUAAGCCCUCAGUGUGUAUCUUGUUUUCUCCCAUCAAGAAAAUGCUGUACAUAAAUAUGGCAGAAGGGGGAUGAAAGCUGUAAGUUUAGACAUCUAACCCAGAUGCCAAGUUAAAAGCCUAGCCAAUGAAGAAGUACAAAAUCUACAUAAACUAGGAGCUUUUCUUUCACUAAUUACAGUGGCAGCCUGAGUUAAAUGGCUUACAUGAAUUCAUCCCCUUCCAAUGGCAGCAGUGAUUUGAAGCGGUUUGCUUCACCAGAGAGUUAACUUCCCCAUGAAAGUUUGCUUCACUAACUACCUAUGUAAACACUGACAUACACAUCUUGCAAAGACUUUUCUUUCCCCAGGUGAACUGCUGCAUCACCAGAUACCCAACAGGAAUCUCCUCCUAUAAGAUCCUUAAUAGCAGCAGCUGCUGAAGGGAAAGGAACUGCAGAGACGCACUUGUUGCCAAACUGUGCAUUUAGAUGGAAGGAGGAGAAACAGAUGGGGAAAUCACUCUUCAGACAGUAUUUACUAGCACAAUCAGCACCUGAGGCAGCACUUACUCAGGUGCUGAAAUUACAGAGAUAUUGGGGAGGAGCAUGGAAGAAGAGAAUCAAAGAUUAAGUGAUGGAGAAAGUGCCAUGCUCUGGAUCCAUAAGGACAAAAUGGGCAGAAAUAGGGACUGCACUUGCAAAAUAAUUGGGACGUCUCUCUGUUGUGAGGUAGGUGUUCUCACUGAAGGUCCUAGAGAUGUUUAUGUGUCAUUAAGAUGAUGAAAGGAGCUUUAACACCUGCCUGGUUGUAGGGAAACAGUGCUCCAUCAAGACCUAGAUCAUGCUACCUGUAAUAAAGUACUUAUAGGAUGAAAACAAA